rnacentral:rRNA from 1 species
AUUGAACGCUGGCGGCAGGCUUAACACAUGCAAGUCGAACGAGUGGCGGACGGGUGAGUAAUGCGUAGGCAUCUGGCUUAUGGAGGGGGAUAACCACGGGGAACUGUCGCCAAUACCGCGUUCCAUAGGUUGAGCCCAAGUGGGAUGGGGUAGUUGGUGGGGGAAAGGCUCACCAAGCGGACGAUCUCUAGCGGGUCUGAGAGGAUGACCGGCCACAUGGGGACGGGGCAACGGCCCGGACUCCUACGGGAGGCAGCAGUGGGGAAUAUUGCGCAAUGGGGGCAAUCUGAGGAGGCCCUGCCGCGGGAUUGAAGAGGGCCUUCGGUUGGAAAAGUUCUUUCGUUAGCGAGGCGUUAACUACAGAAGAAGCACCGGCUAACUCCGUGCCAGCAGCCGCGGUAAUUC